rnacentral:rRNA from 1 species
UUCGCCCUUAGAGUUUGAUCCUGGCUCAGGAUGAGCGCUGGCGGCAUGCCUAACACAUGCAAGUCGAACGGGGUUUAUAUAACAGAACUCUCCGGAGGGAAGAUAUAUAAACCUAGUGGCGGACGGGUGAGUAACGCGUGGGCAACCUGCCCUGUACCGGGGGACAACAGCCAGAAAUGGCUGCUAAUACCGCAUAAGCCUGCGGUGCCGCAUGGCACAGCAGGGAAAACCACGGUGGUACAGGAUGGGCCCGCGUCUGAUUAGUUAGUUGGCAGGGUAACGGCCUACCAAGACGAUGAUCAGUAGCCGGCUUGAGAGAGUGGACGGCCACAUUGGGACUGAGAUACGGCCCAGACUCCUACGGGAGGCAGCAGUGGGGAAUAUUGGGCAAUGGACGCAAGUCUGACCCAGCAACGCCGCGUGAAGGAAGAAGGCUUUCGGGUUGUAAACUUCUUUUAAGGGGGAAGAGCAGAAGACGGUACCCCUUGAAUAAGCCACGGCUAACUACGUGCCAGCAGCCGCGGUAAUACGUAGGUGGCAAGCGUCGUCCGGAUUUACUGGGUGUAAAGGGCGUGCAGCCGGAGAGACAAGUCAGAUGUGAAAUCCGCAGGCUCAACCUGCGAACUGCAUUUGAAACUGUUUCCCUUGAGUAUCGGAGAGGUCAUCGGAAUUCCUAGUGUAGCGGUGAAAUGCGUAGAUAUUAGGAAGAACACCAGUGGCGAAGGCGGAUGACUGGACGACAACUGACGGUGAGGCGCGAAAGCGUGGGGAGCAAACAGGAUUAGAUACCCUGGUAGUCCACGCUGUAAACGAUCAAUACUAGGUGUGCGGGGACUGACCCCCUGCGUGCCGGAGUUAACACAAUAAGUAUUGCACCUGGGGAGUACGAUCGCAAGGUUGAAACUCAAAGGAAUUGACGGGGGCCCGCACAAGCGGUGGAUUAUGUGGUUUAAUUCGAAGCAACGCGAAGAACCUUACCAGGGCUUGACAUCCUACUAACGAAGUAGAGAUACAUCAGGUGCCCUUCGGGGAAAGUAGAGACAGGUGGUGCAUGGUUGUCGUCAGCUCGUGUCGUGAGAUGUUGGGUUAAGUCCCGCAACGAGCGCAACCCCUAUUGUUAGUUGCUACGCAAGAGCACUCUAGCGAGACUGCCGUUGACAAAACGGAGGAAGGCGGGGACGACGUCAAAUCAUCAUGCCCCUUAUGUCCUGGGCUACACACGUAAUACAAUGGCGGUCAACAGAGGGAUGCAAAGCCGCGAGGCCGAGCGAACCCCUAAAAGCCGUCCCAGUUCGGAUUGCAGGCUGCAACCCGCCUGCAUGAAGUCGGAAUCGCUAGUAAUCGCGGAUCAGCAUGCCGCGGUGAAUACGUUCCCGGGCCUUGUACACACCGCCCGUCA